rnacentral:lncRNA from 1 species
GUUUGGGGCAAAACAAAUUGCUUGGCGCCCGCUUUGAUGGAGUCUACUUGGGAGCAGUGUUUCUAGGUUUUGGUGAGUCUCUGGAGCAGAUCACUCAAGAUCUCUAACAAGAUCGAAAUCUGGGGUUCAGCCUGUGCUCCAGUCUCAUUUAAAGGCUUGACUAAGCCAUCAACAGAUGAAUGGGUGAAGAAGAUGUGGUAUAAGUAUGCAAUGGAAUACUAUUCGGCCAUAAAAAAGGAUGAAACAAUGCCAUUUGCAGCAACAUGGAUGGACCUAGAGAUUAUCAUACUAAGUGAAGUGCCAAGGACAACGUGAAGGACGAGUAUGAAACUUUGUUAAGCCCUGUACGAUCUGCCACCUUGAGAAGAGCAAUGACUUCCUAUUGAGCAACAUGGUCAGCCUGAUGGGAUUCACCAGUCCCAGUAGCUGACCUUCCUCAGAUUCCCUGGGGGGACAAACCCAAACCCAAUUGGUAAACAGGAAGCGAGGAAGCCCAUUGAUUUAACUUAUAGAUUAGUCUCUGGAGGCGGGAGCUUGCAGGGGUGUAAACGGAGAGGAGAACUCAGGAAAGAAGUCCAGGCAGGCUUGGAUUCCCAUUCAGGUUCUACUCUACCAUCCAACCACGCAUUCCAGUGCUGGCCUCCAUCCACAGAACUUAUAUUUGUCAAAAUAAUUCAUGGCCCAGGAUGAUCUUAUCUUCCUCUGGUGAAUUUUGUUUGUUGAAUGCCUGGAAUUUCUUUAAUCCAAUUUCAGAGUUUGAGAAUUUUUGUUUUGUUUUUUUUUUUUUCUGGGUUAAUCAGGUGUCUAGAGACAGGGUUGCUGUCCAUGGAAGUGUCAGUCUACUCCUACACUACAUUGUCCUUUCUAUUGUCCUAACAGGUGUUGUCAAAAAUGCAGUUCAGUCUCCCAGCUGCCUAAUUCAGAUCCACCAAAAUUGCCAGGCCAAAAGCAGCCUCCACUGUAGGCACACCCUCUGAAUCCCUGGCCUUUCUUCCAGAAUCUGGCCAGAUAUUUCAUUAAUUCUUUGAUGCCUUUAUUUUAAAUUUUGUCCAGCAUUCUUAGUCGUCUUCAGUGAGAAGGUUCAUCAGUAUUACUUAAGUUGUCAUAAUCAGAUGCAGAAAUCUCUCCCUUAUAUUUCUCUAGCUCUUUAUUGGGAAUUUUUUUUUUUGCCCUACCAAAAGUUAUUCUCAAAGGUGUCCCAAGGACAGUCUCCAAGUGGAAGUGGGAUGGACUCUGAGUGAGAAUACCAUUUUGAUCAGCAAACUUCAGUUCUGCUGCCCUGCUUUUUUAAAGUGUAAAGAUGUCAUGGACUCUUUGCAAUAUUAUAAUUCUAUCUUUCAUUGACUAUGAUUUAAUCUUUGCCAAAAGCCUCUAGGAAAGCCUGCUAUUUGUGGUAAAGAGCUAAGCUAUAUGUUACUUCUCUAGUUCCUGAAUUCCUUUUUUCCCCGAUGCAGAAUGCCAAGUUGUGAGCUUACAAUGAACAGUAUAAUCCCUUCAGUUCUUAAUUAAGAUCAUAGAACCAGAAAGCAUUAUAUCUGACAUAAUUAUUUCAGAUUCCUCUGAAAUGCCUUCACUGAAUUAAUAUUUAAUAUUAUGUUCUUAGCUUUAAAAAUACGAAACCCAAAUUUAAAGAACACAUAUAAUUUUUAUAAAUCCACGUUUGAUUGCCCUGUAUUGCCCAGUGUCCUCUAUAUCAAAUUCUAUGUAAUAAACUUUUAUAGAAU